UACGUAGGUGGCGAGCGUUGUCCGGAUUUACUGGGCGUAAAGAGCGCGCAGGCGGUCGUAUAAGUCGCGUGUGAAAGCCCCCGGCUCAACUGGGGAGGGUCACGCGAUACUGUUCGACUCGAAGGCAGGAGAGGGAAGUGGAAUUCCCGGUGUAGUGGUGAAAUGCGUAGAUAUCGGGAGGAACACCAGUGGCGAAGGCGACGUCCUGGGCUUGACCUGACGCUGAGACGCGACAGCACGGGGAGCGAACGGG
rnacentral:rRNA from 1 species